GGAAUAUUGGACAAUGGGCGCAAGCCUGAUCCAGCCAUGCCGCGUGAGUGAAGAAGGCAUUAGGGUUGUAAAGCUCUUUCAGCGGGGAAGAUAAUGACGGUACCCGCAGCAGAAGACCCGGCUAACUUCGUGCCAGCCGCCGCGGUAAUACGAAGGGGGCUAGCGUUGUUCGGAUUUACUGGGCGUACAGCGCGGGUAGGCGGGUCGUUAAGUCAGAGGUGAAAUGCCGAGGCUCAACCUCGGAACUGCCUUUGAUACUGGCGACCUGGAGUUCGGGAGAGGUGAGUGGAAUUCCGAGUGUAGAGGUGAAAUUCGUAGAUAUUCGGAGGAACACCAGAAGCGAAGGCGGCUCACUGGCCCGAUACUGACGCUGAGGCGCGAAAGCGUGGGGAGCAAAC
rnacentral:rRNA from 1 species